AUGUCAUGGUUGCUGCUUCCCUGCCUAGUCGCCGCCGGCAUAUUGCAAGCUCCUGCGCAGCCAAACCCAGCAGGUUUCAUAAGCAUAGACUGCGGUCUCCCGGGAGAGACGGGCUACGUGGAUAACAUCACUACUCUAUCCUACACCACGGACGCCAGCUUCAUUGACGCCUACGCCGGCUCAAACCACAACAUCUCAACUAAGUACAUGACCUCGACACUACCCAACAACUGGUGGUACACCCUGCGCAGCUUCCCCAGUGGGGCGCGCAACUGCUACACUCUCGGAUUGCUCAUGCCUGGGCUAAAAUACCUGAUCCGCGCCAAGUUCUUGUACGGCAACUACGAUGGCCUCGAUAGGCUACCUAUCUCCUUUGACCUCUACGUGGGUGUUGACUUUUGGAUGAGGGUGAACAUCCAAGUAUCCGACACGUGGGUGUUGGCGGAGGCCAUCGUGAUGGUGUCGCGUGAUUCCCUACAGGUUUGCCUUGUGAACACGGGUGGUGGGGUGCCAUUCAUCUCUGCGCUAGAUCUGAGGCCGCUGAGGAACAAAAUCUACCCACAAGCCAACAUGACACAUGGCCUGGUUCUGGUCGACAGGAUCAACUUCGGACCAGACGAUGGAAGUGCUACUAUCAGGUACCCUGAUGAUCCUUUCGACCGCAUGUGGUUCCCUGCUUCUGGCGGUGCAACAGCUUACUGGGAUGAGAUAUCAACGGAGAUGAAGGUGGACAUUGGUGACGACCAAUUCCAGCCACCCCAGGCAGUGAUGCAGACGGCCAUCACGCCCAAGAACUUCUCCAGCAACAUAGAGUUCACCAUGGACCUCCAGAGUUCCCCUAGUGACCGGUCCCUGGGGUACAUUGAAAUGAUGUACUUCUCUGAACUAAAAUCUCUCCCCAAUAAUACACUACGACAAUACACCAUCUAUCGGAAUGGAGAAGAGACCACAACAGCCUACACUCCGCCGUACCUUGAUGAUGGUUACACCUACUCAACUGAGCCAUUUCAUGCCAGCCAGUACUUGUUGUCCAUCAACGCCACGGCCAACUCAACGAUGCCGCCCAUCAUAAACGCCCUCGAGCUAUUCUCCAUCAUUCCAACCACCACCUACGGCACCAACUCACAGGACGUGUCUGCCAUCAUGACCAUCAAGGAGAGGUACCAGGUGCAGAAGAAUUGGAUGGGUGACCCAUGCGUUCCCGAUACUAUGGUCUGGGAUGGACUAACAUGCAUCUAUGCCAGUUCCAAGCCCCCAAUUAUCUCAAACGUAAAUGUCUCCUUCAGUGGUCUGAAUUAUACUAUAUCACCUGAGUUUGCAAAUCUCACGGAUGUCCGAUACUUGGAUCUGUCAAACAACAACUUGAUAGGUUCAAUUCCAGACACCCUUUCACGAUUACCGUCAUUAAUAUUUUUAGAUCUCUCAAACAACAAGCUCAGUGGAUCAAUUCCCUUUGGACUUCUAAAAAAAGUUCAAGAUGGCUCCUUGGAUCUAAGGUAUGGCAACAAUCCUGACCUCUGUUCUAAUGGGAAUACAUGCCAGCCUACUAAAGGAGAUAACAAACUAGCUAUUCACAUAGUAGUUCCGGUAGUUGUUAUUGUGGCAUUAGUGUUAGUGGCAAUACUAUGCUUUUGGUUACAAAGAAAAANNNNNNNNNGAUCAAUCAGAAACCCUGUGAAGGUGACGAAUGACGGCGACUGGAUUAUUUCACUUCCACUUGAGAACCGUCAGUUCACAUACAUGGAACUGGAGGUGAUUACGAACAACUUCCAACGACCGCUUGGAAGAGGAGGGUUUGGGUACGUCUUUCACGGCUCCCUGGAGAAGGGUACUGAGGUGGCAGUAAAGUUAAGGUCUCAUUCUUCAAAUCAGGGCGUCAAAGAGUUCCUUGCAGAGGCUCAUGUUUUAGCCCUUAUUCAUCACAAGAAUCUUGUGUCCAUGAUUGGUUACUGCAACAAUGGGGGGCACAUGGCACUUGUCUAUGAGUACAUGCCUCAAGGAUCCCUAAAAGAGCAUAUUGCAGGAGAAGAUGGCAACAUGCGAUGCUUACCCUGGAGACGAAGACUUCGAGUAGCACUUGAAACGGCACAAGGACUGGAGUACCUUCACAAGGGAUGUAGCCCACCUAUAAUUCACAGGGAUGUGAAAACCACCAACAUCUUGUUAAACGCAAGGCUGGAGGCCAAGAUUGCCGAUUUUGGCUUGUCCAAGGCUUUCAACUGCGAGGAUGACACCCACGUAUCAACUAACACAUUUGCAGGCACACUUGGAUAUGCAGCUCCAGAGUACCAAAGAACAAUGCAGCCGUCGACCAAGAGUGACGUGUACAGCUUUGGUGUUGUGCUGCUAGAGCUCGUCACUGGGAAGCCAGCCAUCCUACGCAAUCCCGAGUCCAUCCCCCUCAUCAACUGGGCACGGCAGCGGCUUGCAUGGGGCGACAUUGAGGGUGUGGUGGAUACACGUAUGCAAGGUGAUCAUGACAUCAAUGCCGUUUGGAAGACUACGGAGAUUGCACUCAAGUGCACUGCGCAAUCGCCCCUGCAACGGCCCUCCAUGACUGAUGUCGUGAUGCAGCUACAGGAGUGCCUCGACCUCGAGGAAGGCUUCGAACGAGGUGACAGUGGAUUCUACACCGAUAGUAGCAAUGGUGGAAUGAACCCAAACAUAGGUUACAAUACUACCACAAACCAAUCCAUUGAUGUGAGCCACAAUAACGCUACUUUGAGAUAA
rnacentral:rRNA from 1 species